ACUCCGGUUGAUCCUGCCGGCGGCCACCGCUAUAGGAUUUCGAUUAAGACAUGCGAGUCGAGAGUCGUUAUGGACUCGGCGGACUGCUCAGUAACACGUGGAGAACGUGCCCUUAAGUGGGGGAUAAUCUCGGGAAAUUGAGGAUAAUACCCCAUAGAUCAUGGCAUCUGGAAUGAGUCAUGGUUGAAAGUUCCGGCGCUUAAGGAUCGCUCUGCGGCCUAUCAGGUAGUAGUGGGUGUAAGGUACCCCCUAGCCGACGACGGGUAUGGG
rnacentral:rRNA from 1 species